AGUGAACGCUGGCGGUAGGCCUAACACAUGCAAGUCGAACGGCAGCACAGUAAGAGCUUGCUCUUACGGGUGGCGAGUGGCGGACGGGUGAGGAAUACAUCGGAAUCUACUUUUUCGUGGGGGAUAACGUAGGGAAACUUACGCUAAUACCGCAUACGACCUACGGGUGAAAGCAGGGGAUCUUCGGACCUUGCGCGAUUGAAUGAGCCGAUGUCGGAUUAGCUAGUUGGCGGGGUAAGGGCCCACCAAGGCGACGAUCCGUAGCUGGUCUGAGAGGAUGAUCAGCCACACUGGAACUGAGACACGGUCCAGACUCCUACGGGAGGCAGCAGUGGGGAAUAUUGGGCAGUGGGCGCAAGCCUGAUCCAGCCAUACCGCGUGGGUGAAGAAGGCCUUCGGGUUGUAAAGCCCUUUUGUUGGGAAAGAAAAGCAGCAGGUUAAUACCCCGCUGUUCUGACGGUACCCAAAGAAUAAGCACCGGCUAACUUCGUG
rnacentral:rRNA from 1 species